CCAACGGCCCUUUUUAGGGCCAAUCAUUUAGUCUUCAAAAGAGCUG
rfam:Ailuropoda melanoleuca scaffold8768_4, whole genome shotgun sequence.